UAGGGAAUCUUCCGCAAUGGGCGAAAGCUUGACGGAGCAACGCCGCGUGAGUGAUGAAGGUCUUCGGAUCGUAAAACUCUGUUAGUAGGGAAGAACAAAUGUGUAAGUAACUAUGCACGUCUUGACGGUACCUAAUCAGAAAGCCACGGCUAACUACGUGCCAGCAGCCGCGGUAAUACGUAGGUGGCAAGCGUUAUCCGGAAUUAUUGGGCGUAAAGCGCGCGUAGGCGGUUUUUUAAGUCUGAUGUGAAAGCCCACGGCUCAACCGUGGAGGGUCAUUGGAAUCUGGAAAACUUGAUUGCAGAAGAGGAAAGUGGAAUUCCAUGUGUGGCGGUGAAAUGCUCAUAUAUAUGGAGGAACACCAGUGGCGAAGGCGACUUUCUGGUCUGUAACUGACGCUGAUGUGCGAAAGCGUGCGGAUCAAACAGG
rnacentral:rRNA from 1 species